GACGAACGCUGGCGGCGUGCUUAACACAUGCGAGUCGAACGGAAAGGCCCUGCUUUUGUGGGGUGCUCGAGUGGCGAACGGGUGAGUAACACGUGAGUAACCUGCCCUUGACUUUGGGAUAACUUCAGGAAACUGGGGCUAAUACCGGAUAGGAGCUCCUGCUGCAUGGUGGGGGUUGGAAAGUUUCGGCGGUUGGGGAUGGACUCGCGGCUUAUCAGCUUGUUGGUGGGGUAGUGGCUUACCAAGGCUUUGACGGGUAGCCGGCCUGAGAGGGUGACCGGCCACAUUGGGACUGAGAUACGGCCCAGCCUCCUACGGGAGGCAGCAGUGGGGAAUAUUGCACAAUGGGCGGAAGCCUGAUGCAGCAACGCCGCGUGCGGGAUGACGGCUUUCGGGUUGUAAACCGCUUUCGCCUGUGACGAAGCGUGAGUGACGGUAAUGGGUAAAGAAGCACCGGCUAACUACGUG
rnacentral:rRNA from 1 species